rnacentral:rRNA from 1 species
ACGGAAGGCAGCAGUGGGGAAUAUUGCACAAUGGGGGAACCCUGAUGCAGCAACGCCGCGUGCGGGAAGACGGUCUUCGGAUUGUAAACCGCUUUUCUUAGUGAAGAAUUUUGACGGUAGCUAACGAAUAAGCAUCGGCUAACUACGUGCCAGCAGCCGCGGUAAUACGUAGGAUGCAAGCGUUGUCCGGAUUUACUGGGUGUAAAGGGAGCGCAGGCGGGACUGCAAGUUGGAUGUGAAAUGUCGAGGCUUAACCUCGGAACUGCAUCCAAAACUGUAGUUCUUGAGUGGAGUAGAGGCAAGCGGAAUUCCGAGUGUAGCGGUGAAAUGCGUAGAUAUUCGGAGGAACACCAGUGGCGAAGGCGGCUUGCUGGGCUCUAACUGACGCUGAGGCUCGAAAGUGUGGGGAGCAAACAGGAUUAGAUACCCUGGUA